GACGAACGCUGGCGGCGUGCUUAACACAUGCAAGUCGAACGGUGAAGCGCCUUCCUUUUUGGUGGGUGUGGAUGAGUGGCGAACGGGUGAGUAACACGUGAGUAACCUGCCCCCUUCUUCUGGAUAACCGCAUGAAAGUGUGGCUAAUACGGGAUAUUCUGGGUCUGUCGCAUGAUGGGUCUGGGAAAGAUAUUGUUUCGGUGGGGGAUGGGCUCGCGGCCUAUCAGCUUGUUGGUGGGGUGAUGGCCUACCAAGGCGGUGACGGGUAGCCGGCCUGAGAGGGGAGACGGACAGACGGGGAGAAAGGAACCGGGGGGACGGCGACAGGGGGCAGAAGGGGGGGGGAGGGAACAGGGGGGGAAAGGCUGAUGCGGCGGCGCGGCGGAGGAGAUGGUGGCCUUCGUGUGGUGAAGGUCUUACGGUAGUAAAACAGGCCGGCCUGGUUUGUAGGUGGAGUGACGGUAGGUGGAAAAGAAGCGCCGGCUAACUACGUG
rnacentral:rRNA from 1 species